GAGUUGGUAGCUCAGUGGUACAGUGCAUGCUUUGUGUGUAUCAUGUCCUGGGUUCAAUCCCCAGCUUCUUCC